UUUCUAACAGAUUUCUAACAACUAGUAACAAACUGAUAAUGGUUCUACCAACCUGAAUAUAGUUGUAACUAACAAUCUUAUUUGAAUUCUAUGGCAGUGCACUACUUCCUUGGGCAAAGCUUGCUUGUAGUGGCAAUUCACACCAAGUCCUUCAGGUGACCAGGGCGCGUGAUGUUCCUCUUGGGCUUCAGAAAAAAUCGGGGCUAAAAAGCCCAAAGGAACAGAAAAAACUACACUGAAACUAAACGCGGAGACGCAGCUCUAACAGUGUCAAAAGGGAGCAAUUGGGCCAAAAAAGAAGGCACCUGCUCAAACAUCAAAAAAUCCUCCUCCAUCUGACAAACAUGAUUUGCUAAGGCAUCAGCACACUUGUUAGCCUCUCUAUACGAAUGCUUGAUGAUCACUCUCAAAUCAAGAUUGAGUAACCUACAAAUUGCUGAUAUAAAGCUCUAACCAGUAGAACCACCAUCCUUGUUUCCCAUAAUACUCGAAACCACAGCUUUUGAGUCCACCUUAAUGUGACUUUUUGUUGAGUGUUGAUAGUAUGAACUAAUCAAACAGAGAAUGAAUACUUCAGGGUUCUAAGA